rnacentral:rRNA from 1 species
CUUUCCUAGAGACCGGCGCACGGGUGCGUAACGCGUAUGCAACCUACCUUAAUCAGGGGGAUAGCCCGAAGAAAUUCGGAUUAACACCGCAUAAAAUCACAGGGUAGCAUUAUCCAAUGAUCAAAUAUUUAUAGGAUUAAGAUGGGCAUGCGUGUCAUUAGCUAGUUGGCGGGGUAACGGCCCACCAAGGCGACGAUGACUAGGGGAUCUGAGAGGAUGACCCCCCACACUGGUACUGAGACACGGACCAGACUCCUACGGGAGGCAGCAGUAAGGAAUAUUGGUCAAUGGAGGCAACUCUGAACCAGCCAUGCCGCGUGCAGGAAGACGGCCCUAUGGGUUGUAAACUGCUUUUAUCCGGGAAUAAACCUACUUACGUGUAAGUAGCUGAAUGUACCGGAAGAAUAAGGAUCGGCUAACUCCGUGCCAGCAGCCGCGGUAAUACGGAGGAUCCAAGCGUUAUCCGGAUUUAUUGGGUUUAAAGGGUGCGUAGGCGGCCUGUUAAGUCAGAGGUGAAAGACGGUAGCUCAACUAUCGCAGUGCCUUUGAUACUGACGGGCUUGAAUGAACUAGAGNGUAGGCGGAAUGAGACAAGUAGCGGUGAAAUGCAUAGAUAUGUCUCAGAACACCGAUUGCGAAGGCAGCUUACUAUGGUUUUAUUGACGCUGAGGCACGAAAGCGUGGGGAUCAAACAGGAUUAGAUACCCUGGUAGUCCACGCCCUAAACGAUGAAUACUCGCUGUUAGCGA